rnacentral:lncRNA from 1 species
AUUACACCAAUCAUAGAGGAUGGCUCUUCUGGAGGGUACCUGAUUAGUGAUUUUCAUGGUUAAUAUUUUACUGCAGCAUAGCUUUGCAUUACCUUGGCCUAUACAUGUGCCAUUUCUAAUUGUUUGUAUAUAACAGUCCAGAGUUUUGUUUUUGGAAAGCCUGUGAAACUAAAAACAAGCUCAGAGGAAAGAGUACAUGAUCAGUUUGGUGUCUACAUUGAACAAGAGGGAAGAGUGUCCUCCAUGUAUCUGCCGACUGUGAGAUCCUGGCCUAGUGCUAUCCUAUAUAACUUCUGAAUCUUCACUAUGACACUGAUGGAACCACAGAGUCCAUGAUAUUGCACCAGAUGCAACCUAGUGCAAAGUCUGGGGGAUGGAGAGAGUGUGGUGAAUGGAGCUUAUUCCCUCAACAUUAAUGAAUCCAUAGUUUUAGACUGUCUCCAAAAUAGGAGCAUAUAUUCACAUCCAUCAAGACCACCUAAUCCCAUCUGAGCUGCCAGAAUGACAAACGCUGCAUGAAUGACCCCAGACUAGACCAACAGAAGACCAUUCACUUCAACCUACCUCAAAUUGCUUAUCCACGGAAUUAUGAGUAAACAAAAUGGUUGUUUUAAAUCACUGGGUUUGUGGUGGUUUGUUAUACAAAAAAUAGAUUAGUAAUAUAAUUUGUUAAACAGUAAUUAAUGAGUGUUUAAUAUGGG